rnacentral:rRNA from 1 species
UUGAAGCCUAGCGAUAUGUAAGUUAGUGGCGGACGGGUGAGUAACGCGUGGGUAACCUGCCUAUCAGAGGGGAACAACAGUUGGAAACGACUGCUAAUACCGCAUAACACAUAGGUGUCGCAUGGCACUUAUGUCAAAGAUUUAUCGCUGAAAGAUGGCCUCGCGUCUGAUUAGCUAGUUGGUGAGGUAACGGCCCACCAAGGCGACGAUUGGUAGCCGGACUGAGAGGUUGAACGGCCACAUUGGGACUGAGACACGGCCCAAACUCC